rnacentral:rRNA from 1 species
UAAGACGUAGGGGGCCAGCGUUGUUCGGAAUUACUGGGUGUAAAGGGUUCGUAGGCGGUGUGGCAAGUUGGGAGUGAAAUCUCUGGGCUCAACCCAGAGGCUGCUUCCAAAACUGCUGUGCUUGAGUGUGAGAGAGGCCCGUGGAAUUGCAGGUGUAGCGGUGAAAUGCGUAGAUAUCUGCAGGAACACCCGUGGCGAAAGCGGCGAGCUGGAUCACAACUGACGCUGAGGAACGAAAGCUAGGGGAGCAAACAGGAUUAGAUACCCUGGUAGUCCUAGCCCUAAACGAUCAGGACUUGGGGUGCCGCCCGUUCGGGCGUCGUCCCGGAGCUAACGCGUUAAGUCCUGCACCUGGGGAGUACGGUCGCAAGACUGAAACUCAAAGGAAUUGACGGGGGCCCGCACAAGCGGUGGAACAUGUGGUUCAAUUCGACGCUACGCGAGGAACCUUACCUGGGCUCGAAAUGCUUAGGACCAGCUGUAGAAAUACGGCCUUCCCGCAAGGGACCUGAGUAUAGGCGCUGCAUGGCUGUCGUCAGCUCGUGCCGUGAGGUGUUGGGUUAAGUCCCGCAACGAGCGCAACCCCUGCACGCAGUUACUACUCGCAAGAGAGGACUCUGCGUGGACUGCUCCGGAUAACGGAGAGGAAGGUGGGGAUGACGUCAAGUCCGCAUGGCCUUUAUGUCCAGGGCUACACACGUGUUACAAUGCAGGGUACAAACCGUUGCCAACCCGCGAGGGGGAGCUAAUCGGAAAAAACUCUGCUCAGUUCGGAUUGCAGUCUGCAACUCGACUGCAUGAAGCCGGAAUCGCUAGUAAUGGCGUAUCAGAUCGACGCCGUGAAUACGUUCCCGGGCCUUGUACACACCGCCCGUCACAUCACGAAAGUGAGUUGUACUAGAAGUCGCCGCGCUAACCGCAAGGAGGCAGGCGCCCAAGGUAUGACCCAUGAUUGGGGUG